CUCUGUAGGCCUGUGAUUGUUAUUGGAGGCUCCUCUGAUCAAAACCAAGAGACCACUGGGGCGUUUCAAGAGUUUCCACAGGUGGAGGCAUGCAGAUUGUACACUUAGCAAGGUACCUUAACUGCUUCAUAAGAGCACAGCACAGCCUUAAUUGAUCUGAAUGGAAGGGUGUUUGGUCUGUCUAAGGCAGCACGCACUAGCAUGUAUGGACGUCCAGGUGCUGUAUACGUAGACAUAUCUGGGGACAUGGUCAAUGCUAAAUUGGACAGGAGCAGAGCCAGAGAGGUGCCCUGUAGUCCACCUCCUCCUGUGAGUAUGGCUGACCAUAUGGCGAUCACAGAAGCACUGGCGGUCCUGAAAGGAGCCAAACGGCCUUUACUCAUCAUUGGCAAAGGUAGGCAUUGCUUUUUUAAUAGCCAGAUAAUCUGGGGGAAACAGAACUAAAAUCUUGCAUAAUUGCGUCAGAUACUUGGAUAAGGUCUGGGGAGAUGUUAAGAGAAAGAUACUAACGCCACUUGCGAACUCUCCACCCCCCUAAACGGAAA